UACGUAGGCAGCGAGCGUUGUUCGGAGUUACUGGGCGUAAAGGGUGUGUAGGCGGUUGUUUAAGUUUGGUGUGAAAUCUCCCGGCUCAACUGGGAGGGUGCGCCGAAUACUGAAUGACUAGAGUGCGGGAGAGGAGAGUGGAAUUCCUGGUGUAGCGGUGAAAUGCGUAGAUAUCAGGAGGAACACCGGUGGUGUAGACGGCUCUCUGGACCGUAACUGACGCUGAGACACGAAAGCGUGGGGAGCGAACAGG
rnacentral:rRNA from 1 species